AACGAACGCUGGCGGCAGGCUUAACACAUGCAAGUCGAGCGCCCCGCAAGGGGAGCGGCCGCCGGGUGAGUAACGCGUGGGAACGUACCUUUUGGUUCGGAACAACUCCGGGACACUGGAGCUAAUACCGGAUAAGCCCUAACGGGGAAAGAUUUAUCGCCGAAAGAUCGGCCCGCGUCUGAUUAGCUAGUUGGUGAGGUAACGGCUCACCAAGGCGACGAUCAGUAGCUGGUCUGAGAGGAUGAUCAGCCACACUGGGACUGAGACACGGCCCAGACUCCUACGGGGGGCAGCAGUGGGGAAUAUUGGACAAUGGGCGCAAGCCUGAUCCAGCCAUGCCGCGUGAGUGAUGAAGGCCUUAGGGUUGUAAAGCUCUUUUGUCCGGGAAGAUAAUGACUGUACCGGAAGAAUAAGCCCCGGCUAACUUCGUG
rnacentral:rRNA from 1 species